AGCAAUACCUUUCUGAUAUGGGGGUGGAUCCGAAGCCUCUACAAGAUUAACAUAGGCUCUCCACCCCUCACCCCUACUCAAUAUGUCCCCGUCGUACAGAACGGUAACAUGUCUCUCAAUCAAGGU
rnacentral:ribozyme from 1 species